rnacentral:lncRNA from 1 species
AGGCCACGGCAUCGGCGGUGGAUUCGGUAAAGGCGGAGGUCUUGGCGGCGGCAUCGGCAACGGUGGAGGACUCGGUGGUGGUGCCGGUGGCGGGUAUGGCAAUGGUGGUGGUCUUGGAAAUGGAGGCGGGCUCGGAGGCGGCAUCGGCCAUGGACUCGGUGGUGGCAUUGGAAAGGGUGGGGGUCUCGGUGGCGGCUUUGGCAAAGGUGGUGGACUAGGGGGCGGCUUUGGCGGUGGAGACGGCGGAGGCGGCGGUUUUGGCGGAGGCUUUGGCAAGGGAGGCGGAUUCGGUUUCGGGAUCGGCAAAGGUGGCGGUGGCGGGAUCGGCGGCGGCCACUGAUGUUGCAGUAUGUACGUUUGGCUCAGCUCUGUUCUGCUGAGGGCCGUUGGUCGUCAUAGUAUUCUGUCGAUGUGAGCAGUACGUGUGAUGAAACAUAUUUUUCCCUUGUAGAAUCUCACCACUAGUAUUUUCUUGUGUCUCCUGUUCUCUCAGGGAGACGUAUUCUCGCGCAUGUACGUUGGUGAUGGAACUGAUGGUAAUAUAUGAGCAUCUUGUAUGUCUUGGUCCAUGCCAGUGUAUGUUCCAGUGAUUUUGAAAUAUAAAUUUGGUACAAGUAAAUAAAACUUCAGAAGCUACCUGCAAGUGUUCAAAGUUCAGGAUGUUCAGAACAGAGCAAGCAUAGUAAGAAGGAACGACAUGCAAUGCAAAAGCUUACGGCGGCUGCUCAACCGGCUGACGGCCUAAAAUCUCUACUCAGUGUCCGGACUCCAGAACUCCAGAUUGUGUGUAGUUUGCGCCUGAGAGUGCUCAACAUGUAAACAGUGUUUAAUCACUGUAAACCAAACUUGGGCACGUGUUCUUCGGUAUAAAGUGCAGUGCGAGGGUGGAUGGGAGGCGAAGCUAUGGAAAAUCUCAAAAGUACCUUUCUACAUCUGAGCUCAUAUGUUCCUGGUGUGAACAGUAAAAUUAAUAAAAUAAAAUAAUAUUUCAAAAAUUUCUGAAUUUUUUGUGGCAUACUUUCAGAAAUGUUUG